AUUGAACGCUGGCGGCAGGCCUAACACAUGCAAGUCGAGCGGAGCGGCGGACGGGUGAGUAAUGCCUAGGAAUCUGCCUGGUAGUGGGGGAUAACGUCCGGAAACGGGCGCUAAUAUCGCAUACUAUCAGAUGAGCCUAGGUCGGAUUAGCUAGUUGGUGGGGUAAAGGCCUACCAAGGCGACGAUCCGUAACUGGUCUGAGAGGAUGAUCAGUCAGACUGGAACUGAGACACGGUCCAGACGCCUACGGGAGGCAGCAGUGGGUAAUGUGGGACAAUGGGCGAAAGCCUGAGACGUCCAUGCAGCGUGGGUGAAGAAGGUCUUCGGAUUGUACAGCACUUUAAGUUGGGAGGCGUUACCAACAGAAGAAGCACCGGCUAACUUCGUGCCAGCAGCCGCGGUAAUUC
rnacentral:rRNA from 1 species